rnacentral:rRNA from 1 species
GACGAACGCUGGCGGCGUGCUUAACACAUGCAAGUCGAACGGAAAGGCCCUGCUUUUGUGGGGUGCUCGAGUGGCGAACGGGUGAGUAACACGUGAGUAACCUGCCCUUGACUUUGGGAUAACUUCAGGAAACUGGGGCUAAUACCGGAUAGGAGCUCCUGCUGCAUGGUGGGGGUUGGAAAGUUUCGGCGGUUGGGGAUGGACUCGCGGCUUGUCAGCUUGUUGGUGGGGUAGUGGCUUACCAAGGCUUUGACGGGUAGCCGGCCUGAGAGGGUGACCGGCCACAUUGGGACUGAGAUGCGGCCCAGACUCCUACGGGAGGCAGCAGUGGGGAAUAUUGCACAAUGGGCGGAAGCCUGAUGCAGCAACGCCGCGUGCGGGAUGACGGCCUUCGGGUUGUAAACCGCGUUCGCCUGUGACGAAGCGUGAGUGACGGUAAUGGGUAAAGAAGCACCGGCUAACUACGUG